GGCAGCUUACACAUGCAAGUCGAGCGGUAACAGAGAUAGCUUGCUAUCUGCUGACGAGCGGCGGACGGGUGAGUAAUGCUUGGGAAUAUGCCUUUGAGUGGGGGACAACAGUUGGAAACGACUGCUAAUACCGCAUAACGUCUACGGACCAAAGGGGGGGAUGCUUCGGCACCUCUCGCUCAUUGAUUAGCCCAAGUGAGAUUAGCUAGUUGGUAAGGUAAUGGCUUACCAAGGCGACGAUCUCUAGCUGGUUUGAGAGGAUGAUCAGCCACACUGGGACUGAGACACGGCCCAGACUCCUACGGGAGGCAGCAGUGGGGAAUAUUGCACAAUGGGCGAAAGCCUGAUGCAGCCAUGCCGCGUGUGUGAAGAAGGCCUUCGGGUUGUAAAGCACUUUCAGCGAGGAGGAAAGGUUAGUAGUUAAUAGCUGCUAGCUGUGACGUUACUCGCAGAAGAAGCACCGGCUAACUUCGUGCCAGCAGCCGCGGUAAUACGAGGGGUGCAAGCGUUAAUCGGAAUUACUGGGCGUAAAGCGUGCGUANGUGGUUUGUUAAGCAAGAUGUGAAAGCCCCGGGCUCAACCUGGGAACUGCAUUUUGAACUGGCAAACUAGAGUUU
rnacentral:rRNA from 1 species